CAGCAGCCGCGGUAAUACGUAGGGUGCAGGCGUUAAUCGGAAUUACUGGGCGUAAAGCGUGCGCAGGCGGUUUGCUAAGACAGGUGUGAAAUCCCCGGGCUUAACCUGGGAACGGCGCUUGUAACUGGCAAGCUGGAGUGUGGCAGAGGGGGGUGGAAUUCCACGUGUAGCAGUGAAAUGCGUAGAGAUGUGGAGGGACACCGAUGGCGAAGGCAGCCCCCUGGGCUAACACUGACGCUCAUGCACGAAAGCGUGGGGAGCAAACAGGAUUAGAUACCCUGGUAGUCCACGCCCUAAACUAUGUCAACUGGUUGUCGGGGAAGCAAUUCCUUGGUAACGAAGCUAACGCGUGAAGUUGACCGCCUGGGGAGUACGGCCGCAAGGUUAAAACUCAAAGGAAUUGACGG
rnacentral:rRNA from 1 species